rnacentral:lncRNA from 1 species
UUGAGAAGUACCGUCCUCUACUCUUUUGAGGUCACUCACUCAUAGGAGCUGGCAAACGCUAAACCGUUUUUCAAACAUAUCUUCCCUAAAGCC